rnacentral:sRNA from 1 species
CCACCCAAUGCACCGCCCACGCCGGCCGUCACGUUAUCGCCUGCUGAGGCAAAACCGCUGACCAGUGAGAACGACAACAACAGAAUCGAGGAAUACUUCAUGUAUGGAUGCUCAUAGGGAUGACGCCGCGAUCCUGCAAUUAUGAAGAAAAUGUCACAAUCGAAUUCCGACGAAUAACACGACCUGUAUACAAAACGCUAACUUAUUGUUUUGACAAGGGAACCUAAAUCGGGUUGGCGAGUCAUACGCUACUUGAUAAAGGCCCGAAUCUUGCGACUCGGGCCUUUUUUUGUGGCGUUGAUUUUCGCAGCACGGAUCAGAUGAUCCGUGCGGUCUCAACAUGCCGCUCCAGCUUGAUUGCCACGAACUUCGACGUCGGCGUG